GUCGUUGUAGUAUAGUGGUGAGUAUAUCCGCCUGUCACGCGGAUGACCCGGGUUCGAUCCCCGGCAACGGCG
rfam:Vigna angularis cultivar Jingnong 6 scaffold14_44, whole genome shotgun sequence.